UUUCUCAUUGUGAAAUCAAUUUGCAUUGAAUCUUUCUGUAAAGUGCUGAUGUUUGAAAUUCCCACUUAGGCCGUGGAUCCCCAUGGAAAAUUUCCAAGUGUGUCAACAAGGUGGAAGGACCCAUGACGUCGUCGUGGCGUGCCGCCAUAUUGAUGCUUUCCCGCCCUCGACAGCGUUGGUGUUGCGUGAGGCACGCUCGCCACAAAGUCUCUUUGAUUUGCUCCACAUUCGAACCUGACACGCCGAGAUCGACGUCAUCCCCUCGACUUGAUCCCGUCUAUGCGUUUGGACUUGCUUGCCGCCGCGCGCAAGUUCGCUUUUGUUGCAAGUCAAGCCUUGAUUAAAACAAUAAACGGCGCAAUUGUCAAUGCUCCAAGGAAGACAACACGAUGCUCAUUUAGGGCAUCAUUAAGUGCGAGAUAGGCCAUCUGCGAGCGGGCUAAGAAGAAUUCCCCGGACGCCGGCGGCAGCGUCUGGUCACCGACAAUGGCAACAGAUGGCCCGCUUGUAAAGACGCCGUGUUCGCCGCUUUCGGCGUGGAUGGGAACAUUGCCUGCCGAGACGCUUUCAGGCACCCCUGAGAAAUGAGACUGUAGCGUAAUUCUGCAAAUAGCGGCCGUGCCUCUGUUAGAAGUUCACAGUGGACAACCUAACAUGAAUGGCUAACAGCUAGCGCCCUUAGCCCUGUCCCAAAACGUCACCCCCUUUGCUCCCCAAACCCUAGCUCCCUUAACCUUAAUCCGAGCUCCCCAAACACUAACCUUAACCCGUUAGGACCCAAAACCUAGCCCCCUUAACCCUAUCGCUAAUCCUAACCCCUACUAGCUCCCUUAACUUGAACCCAUUUUUUCCCCCAUUGUUGACAUUUUAUAGAAUUUUUCAUGAAACAGCACAUAAGUGACUUUAUCAAAUGUUAAGUUCCAAGCCAUCGAUUCUCAAGGUGUGGUAUGGGUUCCCGCGAGUGCUACGCGAAAGAAUCACCGCCCAGGUGUCGCCAAAACCUCCUCGCAACAUACAACAGAAUAAAGCUUCCGAGACUCUCGAGGUUCUCUGUCAUCGACGUGACUUGAGGCAAGUGUGGCAUUUGUCAAUACAAUGUGUCAAUUAUGUAAAAAUUGUAAUAUUAUGGGGCGGCACGGUGGCCGACUGGUUAGAGCGUCAGCCUCACAGUUCUGAGGUGCGGGGUUCAAUCCCCGUCCCCGCCUGUGUGGAGUUUGCAUGUUCUCCCCGUGCCUGCGUGGGUUUUCUCCGGGCACUCCGGUUUCCUCCCACAUCCCAA